rnacentral:misc_RNA from 1 species
GAAUUUCUCAACCAUGUCUUCCUUCUGAUGGAGGAAGAUAUUGGCUUGGAUGUUGGAGGUUGCUGGCGUUCGUCGUCAGCUCUUCCGAAAUACAUUAGCGAAUGGGGGUUGACAUGCACGGCCUUUCGACGUGAUAAUGAUCGUCGUGGGGCUGGAGUGUCACGUUCGCUUCCAAUUCAUGUUCGUGAAGCUUGUGUGUGUGUGUGCCAUGUUUCUUACAUCGUGCUCGCUCGCUCGCUCUCGAACGAUUGUUG